rnacentral:rRNA from 1 species
GACGAACGCUGGCGGCGUGCUUAACACAUGCAAGUCGAACGGAAAGGCCCUGCUUUUGUGGGGUGCUCGAGUGGCGAACGGGUGAGUAACACGUGAGUAACCUGCCCUUGACUUUGGGAUAACUUCAGGAAACUGGGGCUAAUACCGGAUAGGAGCUCCUGCUGCAUGGUGGGGGUUGGAAAGUUUCGGCGGUUGGGGAUGGACUCGCGGCUUAUCAGCUUGUUGGUGGGGUAGUGGCUUACCAAGGCUUUGACGGGUAGCCGGCCUGAGAGGGUGACCGGCCACAGUGGGACUGCGAUACGGCCCAGACUCCUACGGGAGGCAGCAGUGGAGAAUAUUGCACAAUGGGCGGAAGCCUGAUGCAGCAACGCCGCGUGCGGGAUGACGGCCUUCGGGUUGUAAACAGCUUUCGCCUGUGACGAAGAGUGAGUGACGGUAAUGGGUAAAGAAGCACCGGCUAACUACGUG